rnacentral:lncRNA from 1 species
ACGCCUUCAGAAAAUUAAGAUAAAAAUCUGUAAUAAUUUUGAACCUGCAGUCAAAUGCAUAUAUGAAAAAAAAACACUAUUUGCACUCAUUUAGAAGAUACGGAGUAUGAUUCUAGAAACAUACGGACAUGCAAAGCAUAUGAAUAGGGUGUCAUGCCCGAUAUAGGCACCUUUCGAUGGAUUACAGGAAAAAAAACACAUGAAAUUUGAAGGAAGUUUUACAAUUAAACUGAGCAUUUUAAAGUUCAUAUAAAGUUCUACCUCAACAGUUUUGAUACUUUAAGUGAAAUUUGCUAUAUCUCUUCUCUACUACCGAAUUCUAUGCAUUUUCUCAGCUAGCUAGGGUGUCCACGUGGCAUAGUUUGGAUGGAGCCGAGCUCCUUCGCCGGCCACAGCCCGAGCACUACUGCUGCCCCGACCUGAGCUCCACCGGCGUCGCUGACCCGAGCUCCUCCUUCGGCGCUGCCGCCCGAUCUUUGCCGCAGUCCCGACCUCGAUCUCCGCCACCGGUGCUCGAUCUGCCGCCGCCGCCACCCCGGCCAGCGCACGAGCCGCCGCCCCGGUCCGAUUUGCGCCACCACGGCCCGACAUCCGUCGCCCCGGCCCGAUCUACGGUGUCCCGGGCCGAGCUAGGCAGCCGUCGCUCAAUCUACCGCCGCCGCCCGUUCUGUUCCUUCGCCGACCAAGAUCCGCCGCUACGGCCCGAGCUCCGCUGCCGCGACGUGUGAUUCCUCACGUCGACCUCGCCGGCGGAGGAGGACGAGGACAGGGGCACCGACGAAGGGAGGCACAUCGCCGCUUUUAUCUGAGCCGCCCCGACCACCGCCGAGCCGCCGGUGGAAGGGAUGGGAGAGGGAGGGGGGCACUGUCGACGGGGUGAGAGAGGAUGAGAGAUAGAAAGGAAUGGGGUGAGACCCUGAGAGAGAGAUUACACUGAUGAGAGAGGAUGGGCGAGAGAGAGGUUGUACUAUGUUUAGUGACUUUAAAACUAAAUUUGAAAUAUAGACUAUGCUUAUUCCUUAUUUCUGACUUUAAAACUAAAUUUGAAAUAUAAACUAUGUUUAUUCCUUAUUUCAUAAUUAACUUGAAAAAUAACACUUUGUGAAUAGUGGUCGUUUUAUAUGUCAAUAUGUCCG